AUGAAGAUACCUCUAAAGAAUAAAAUCUUUGCAUGGUAUCUUCGUCGCGGAGUCAUUCUUACUAAAGAUAACCUUAUUAAAAGAAAUUGGCAUGGAAGCCCGCAAUGUGUCUUUUGUCAUCAUGAUGAGACAAUAAAACAUUCUUCCAAUGCAAAUUGGCUCGUUCUAUAUGGUCAGUCAUCCAGAUAG
rnacentral:rRNA from 1 species